AAUCCCGGGAAACUGGGGCCGAGAGCCGAAUAGGCAAGGAAGGCUGGAAUGCGUUCUUGCCGAAUCAAGGAUGAGACUGCGGCCUAUCAGGUUGUUGUUGGGGUAAAGUCCCGACAAGCCUAUGACGGGUACGGGCCUUGAGAGAGGAAGCCCGGAGAUGGAUUCUGAGACACGAAUCCAGGCCCUACGGGGCGCAGCAGCCGCGGAAAUUUCACAAUGCCCGCAAGGGUGAUGGAGGGAUUUGGAGUGCUUUCUCAAAUUUGAGGGAGCUUUUGUCGACCUUAGAUAAGUCGGCGAAUAAGUGAUGGGUAAUACAGGUGCCAGCCGCCGCGGUAAUACCUGAGUCACGAGUGGUGAUCGCGUUUAUUGGGCUUAGGGCGUUCGUAGCCGGCCCUUCGAGUCUCUGAUGAAAUCCGGCAGCUAACUGUCGGGCGUGUCAGGGAUACUGUUGGGCUCGGGACCGGGAGAGGUCUGGAGUAUUCUUGGGGUAGGAGUAAAAUCCUAUAAUCCUAAGAGGACUACCUGUGGCGAAGGCGUCAGACUAGAACGGAUCCGACGGUGAGGGACGAAAGCUAGGGGAGCAAAACGGAUUAGAUACCCGUGUAGUCCUAGCUGUAAACGAUGCCCGCUAGGCAUUGGCUACCUUACGAGGGCAGCCAGAGUCAUAGGGAAACCGUUAAGCGGGCCGCCUGGGGAGUACGGCCGCAAGACUGAAACUUAAG
rnacentral:rRNA from 1 species